AAAGCUCCACCCAAAUGUAAAUGACAUGAUUUACAGUAUUUCUACCAGCAGUAUUCAGUGACAUUGUAGCAGUUGGUCUUCCUGCAUCAUUUGAAAUGGCAGACAUUCCAUUCUUAUUUUUUCUCCUGAUGUGUUUAACUAGUGUUAAUGGUCAGAGCCUGGAGUCCAUCCCAUCAAGUUCUGUUACCAAAAAGCCUGGAGAAAUUUUGAACCUUUCCUGUAGAGGAUCUGGAUUUGAUUUUGGACAAUACGGCAUGCACUGGAUCAGACAGCCAGCAGGGAAAGCAUUGAACUGGAUGGGGCUCAUCUGGUAUGAUGCCAGUAAAACAGUGUAUGCAAAAAGUGUUGAGGGACGAAUAGAGAUCACCAGAGAUAAUUCAAACAGCGUGGUGUAUCUGAAACUCUCCGGUCUGAAAGCAGAGGAUUCAGCUGUUUAUUACUGUGCAGGAGAGACACAAUGAUGAAAAAAAGCACUGGGCUGUACAAAAACAUGUCAGGGAGGAAAAUGGGCAGGGAGGAAAAUGGGCAAGACAAAACAAAAACAAACAGCAGAUGACGCUGGAGCACAGUACAACUUUGAUCCAAAGAAACAGACACACCUUCUGCUGAAGGAUAAAAUACAUAAGCUAUAAAAGAAUAUAAACUUAUUUAAAUGCCUUUAUCACUGAGUCUGACA